UUUUAUAUAGUUUAAAAAAAAAACAUUACAUUUUCAAUGUAAAAAUAAAAUAAAAACAAAUUUUUAUAAAUA
rnacentral:tRNA from 1 species